UACGUAGGGCGCAAGCGUUAUCCGGAAUUAUUGGGCGUAAAGAGCUCGUAGGUGGUUUGUCGCGUUGUCCGUGAAAAACUCACAGCUCAACUGUGGGCGUGCGGGCGAUACGGGCAGACUGGAGUACUGCAGGGGAGACUGGAAUUCCUGGUGUAGCGGUGGAAUGCGCAGAUAUCAGGAGGAACACCGGUGGCGAAGGCGGGGUCUCUGGGGGCAGG
rnacentral:rRNA from 1 species